rnacentral:misc_RNA from 1 species
UACGAAGGGGGCAAACGUUGUUCGGAAUCACUGGGCGUAAAGCGCGUGUAGGCGGCUUGGCAAGUCGGGUGUGAAAUCCCAGGGCUCAACCCUGGAAGUGCACUCGAAACUGCUUAGCUAGAGUUCUGGAGAGGAAGGUGGAGUGCUUGGUGUAGAGGUGAAAUUCGUAGAUAUCAAGCGGAACACCGGUGGCGAAGGCGACCUUCUGGACAGAAACUGACGCUGAGACGCGAAAGCGUGGGGAGCAAACAGG